AUUUGAUUUGCAUUGGUACAAGAUUUUCCUGAGGUGGUGGUGUUUUUUAAAAUUCAAAUACAAUUAUCACUUCUAUUGUAGUUGCAAUCGCAGAAGCAGUUUGGCAAAUGUGAUUCACAGAAUAAAGUCUAAAUGCUAGAUCCUCAUUAGGUAAUAGGAGUAGGUGAUGUGUAGAGUCCCACAAGGGAAAACCAACAUCAGGAGAGCUCCACUGUAUAAGAAAUGAGGAAGGG